AACGUUUUGGCUUUUUUGGACCCGAGGCAUGUGGGAUCGUAGCUCCCCGACCAGAGAUUGAACCCGCACCUCCUGUAUUGAAAGGCCAAGUCUUAACCACCGGACCUCCAGGGAAUUCCCCAAGGGAAAAGUUUUUGCAACUCAAACCCCUUGACGAGAGAAAAUGCCACCCCCAAAUCCUGUUUCCUGAGAGAGAGCAGAGAGCCUGGUAGGUAAGAACAGAACUCUGCUCUUUCUCUGUCUUUCUGUCAACAGGUGGUGUUGUCAGCCAUAAAAUCCCUGCUGAGGUCACAGCUCUGCUGUAAAUGGAGCUUCCAGUCACCCUAUUAAUGUCCAUUUGAGGUCUUCAGGAAACUCCUUCACUAGUUCCUCAAAGCAAGGGACCCUCUCACGACUUUGAAUGAGUGAACCAGCUAUAAACGAGUUUUGGAUGUUGCUUGCUUAAAAGCAAAGAACCUUUGCCAUGGGAGCACACCUGUAUACCUGGAUCAUAUGUCCACGGGGGCUCUCCAGCUUUACCCGGCGGUUGGUGUAUUGCAGAUGAAAAUUAUUUUCUCUGACUGUUGUGUGUUAUCUGAGUUCCAGUUAGGAAAACUCCAGCUGGACGGCAGAUGCCCGUACUCUUCUUACGGAACUUGAGCUGAGAUCAGCCUUAGGCAUUCUGGGCCUGCGGAGUCAGGAGCCCCAUCCCCUGUGGAUGACAUUACACUGGGCUAAUCGUAAAGGAUAUUUCCAGAUGCCCACGGCUCCACUGAUGUCUCAUCAGGAAUUGUGGACAUGAAGCCUAAGACGUUACGUUCCUUGUCUCAGGAUGGUUAGAGCUGCUGAUUGCAAACAGUGGAAUCUACUUGGACCAGUUUAAGCAGAAAAGGGAUUUACUAAAUGCUUUGAGGUCCACCACGGAAUCGUGCAGAAUGGAAAUGAGUUUUAAGACUAUGUUUCCAGGACCAACACCUGGACCGUGCGAUGCGACUGGACAAGUGAGAAAGUGGCCUCCACCUGCUUAAAGCCUGGGCAUCUGCUGCCGGAACUGACGCCCCUUCUCAGUGACGGAAGCUGCACGUGGACCCACAAAGUGGACGUUGUGUGGAGAGCCUGCUUCCUGGGAUGCUCGCUUCCAAACGCAGGGUCACCUGGGAGGCUGUGUGGCACAGAGGGAGCCCUCCAAGCCUCCCGGCUGCCAGGGAGGCUUAAUUAGAAAGACUUUUAGAAGAAAAUGGAAUGUGGUUGGAUUUAAAUGAAGCAAAACUUGAAAGACUGGAUCCAUCCAUUAUAGACUGUUAUUAUCAUCUAUAUAAUAAUGCAGAUUAUUAUAUCUGUAGUGCUGGUUUAAAAAUACAGAGGAAGGACUUCGGCAGGCCCAGGGCAGGUGACUGGAGCCUGUUUGAACGUGUUUCACCCCGUGCUCUUGUUUCACUCUUGGCCAGAAGCAAAGAUAUUGCAGCGAAAGUCACUGCUGCACACAUUAGACUUCCAGCUGGCUCGCUUGGACCUUUACCCUGACUUUUGGCAAAAAUUGUGUCAAAAGUGGUGCUGCUCUUGCAAACUAAGCACAUGUGGUCUGGCUAAACUCUUGUGUUUUAUUUGUAUUUUAAAGGACAUAACUAUAGUCACUAUAAGGUUUGAGGUGGGUGAACUACUUAGAGGGUAUCUGAUUGUGCUAGAAAAUAUAUUAAGAAAGCAAACCCUGCAUUCUGACUUCUGAGUGAAGAGAGGAUUUCAGACAAAAAUUUAAAAAAUAAA